GAUAUUGCUUGGAUAAAUGUUUGAAUUAAACUGUUGCAUGCACAUUGCUUGGAUGGAGUGAAACACUUACCCUUGAGUGAUAUAUUUGUGAGAAAUUUGUGAUAACACUUGAAUCUUAAUUGUUUGAUAAAAAUGUUGAGAAUUUUGCUUAGGCAUAGCAAUCACUUCAUGAUCAUGCUUUGUUUCUUUGAAUAUUUUGAGGAUUAGUCUUUAGUAGGCAUUGUUUUACUUAUGCUAG
rnacentral:lncRNA from 1 species